UACGUAGGGCGCAAGCGUUGUCCGGAAUUAUUGGGCGUAAAGAGCUCGUAGGCGGUCUGUCGCGUCCGUUGUGAAAACUCGAGGCUCAACCCCGGGCCUGCAUUCGAUACGGGCAGACUAGAGUUCGGUAGGGGAGUCUGGAAUUCCUGGUGUAGCGGUGAAAUGCGCAGAUAUCAGGAGGAACACCGGUGGCGAAGGCGGGACUCUGGGCCGAUACUGACGCUGAGGAGCGAAAGCGUGGGGAGCAAACAGG
rnacentral:rRNA from 1 species